rnacentral:sRNA from 1 species
UCCUCGUAAACGGCAAGCAAUCUGGUC